rnacentral:rRNA from 1 species
AGUGAACGCUGGCGGUAGGCCUAACACAUGCAAGUCGAACGGCAGCACAGUAAGAGCUUGCUCUUACGGGUGGCGAGUGGCGGACGGGUGAGGAAUACAUCGGAAUCUACUUUUUCGUGGGGGAUAACGUAGGGAAACUUACGCUAAUACCGCAUACGACCUACGGGUGAAAGCAGGGGAUCUUCGGACCUUGCGCGAUUGAAUUAGCCGAUGUCGGAUUAGCUAGUUGGCGGGGUAAAGGCCCACCAAGGCGACGAUCCGUAGCUGGUCUGAGAGGAUGAUAAGCCACACUGGAACUGAGACACGGUCCAGACUCCUACGGGAGGCAGCAGUGGGGAAUAUUGGACAAUGGGCGCAAGCCUGAUCCAGCCAUACCGCGUGGGUGAAGAAGGCCUUCGGGUUGUAAAGCCCUUUUGUUGGGAAAGAAAAGCAGCAGGUUAAUACCCCGCUGUUCUGACGGUACCCAAAGAAUAAGCACCGGCUAACUUCGUG